CCUACGGGGGACAGCAGUGGGGAAUAUUGGGCAAUGGAGGAAACUCUGACCCAGCAACGCCGCGUGAAUGAUGAAGGUCUUCGGAUUGUAAAGUUCUUUUCUAAGGGAAGAAGAAAGUGACGGUACCUUAGGAAUAAGCCUCGGCUAACUACGUGCCAGCAGCCGCGGUAAUACGUAGGAGGCAAGCGUUAUCCGGAAUGACUGGGCGUAAAGGGUGCGUAGGUGGUUUGACAAGUUGGUAGCGUAACUCCGGGGCUCAACCUCGGCGCUACCGCCAAAACUAUUAGACUAGAGUGCAGGAGGGGUAAGUGGAAUUCCUAGUGUAGCGGUGGAAUGCGUAGAUAUUAGGAGGAACAUCAGGGGCGAAGGCGACUUACUGGACUGUAACUGACACUGAGGCACGAAAGCGUGGGGAGCAAACAGGAUUAGAUACCCGAGUAGUC
rnacentral:rRNA from 1 species